rnacentral:rRNA from 1 species
GACGUAGGGCGCGAGCGUUGUCCGGAUUUAUUGGGCGUAAAGAGCUCGUAGGCGGCUUGUCGCGUCGACUGUGAAAUCCCGCGGCUCAACUGCGGGUCUGCAGUCGAUACGGGCAGGCUAGAGUUCGGUAGGGGAGACUGGAAUUCCUGGUGUAGCGGUGAAAUGCGCAGAUAUCAGGAGGAACACCGAUGGCGAAGGCAGGUCUCUGGGCCACUACUGACGCUGAGAAGCGAAAGCAUGAGGAGCGAACAGG